rnacentral:rRNA from 1 species
CGUAUGGUGGAUGCCUUGGCAGACAGUACCGAUGAAGGACGUUUGAGGAUGCGAUAAGCCUCGGGGAGCCUCCAACAUGGCUUCGAUCCGAGGAUUUCCGAAUGGGGCAACCCGCCGGCCGUCAUGGGGCCGGCACGGGAACCUUGUUGUUCCGGGGGGUACGCAGGGAAGUGAAACAUCUCAGUACCUGCAGGAAGGGAUACUCCGUGAGUAGUGGCGAGCGAAAGCGGAUCAGACCAAACCAUGGGCGCGUGAUACCCGUCGGGGGUUGCGCUUGUGGUGUUGCGGGAGCGUGUGUCCCGGUUCCGACGGACCGGGCGGGAGUCAUAAAACGGCUUGCCAGGGGAACAGGCUUGAAGGCCUGGCCGCAGAGGGUGCCAGCCCCGUACCUGGAAGCUUGCCGUCUUCCGAUCAUGUGUCCCAAGUAGCGCGGGCCUCGUGGAAUCCCGUGUGAAUCGGCCCCGACCGUGGGGUAAGUCUAAGCAUACCUGUCUGACCGAUAGCGUACCAGUACCGUGAGGGAAAGGUGAAAAGCACCCCGGGAGGG